rnacentral:tRNA from 1 species
GUCUUGGUAGUGUAAGAGAUAGAGCACAGUGCCCGGAAAGCAUAAGUACGGGUUCGAGUCCCGUCCACGACU